CGGAAUCACCGGUUGUCUAGCACCGUUACUGCGCCGCGCACACCCAGUACCACAGAUGGCUUAUCCCAACCGAAGUGUGUCCGGAGGGCUGCGUUACUCAGAUGCUGCUUGGCUGCCCGUUUUCUCCGACUUCCAGAAAAGCCAGGCCCCUCCCUCUACCGUCCGGGAAACUGGGUCCAGCCAGAGCCAAAAUGGCGAGUGAAGGCGGGACCUCGAGCCCUUCUCAUCUAAACACCAGAGCCAAGAUGGCGCCUGAYGGGGGGGUGCGUUUCAGACGCAGUUUCUUAAUAAUCUCUUUUAACCGAUCCUUCUAGUGUGUCCCGCGCAGGCGUCGGCCAGACAAAUCUCAUCUUACGUCAGCCUUUCCUCCACUCUUAUCUUCAUCGUUUUAGCUGCUCGUUUCAUUUUAAUUCAUAUCUCCUGUACGUACAUUGAAAAUAAAACAUUUAUUUCAAAACGA